GUACACGCUGUGACUAGCAUAUCAAUAAGCGGAGGAAAAGAAACUAACAAGGAUUCCCUCAGUAACGGCGAGUGAAGCGGGAAGAGCUCAAGUUUGAAAUCUUGAAAGGUCACCUUUCACGAAUUGUAGUUUAAAGAAGCUGUUUUCUGUUACGAUCGUAAUAUAAGUUCUUUGGAAUAGGACAUCACAGAGGGUGAGAAUCCCGUCUAUGAUUGCGAUUUGUAGCUUUGUGAUACACUUUCAAAGAGUCGGGUUGUUUGGGAAUGCAGCCCAAAACGGGAGGUAAAUUUCUUCUAAGGCUAAAUAUUGGCGAGAGACCGAUAGCGAACAAGUACCGUGAGGGAAAGAUGAAAAGAACUUUGAAAAGAGAGUUAAAUAGUACGUGAAAUUGUCAAAAGGGAAGCGUUUAACAUCAGUGUUGUUUUCUGAAAAUCAACCUCUGUUAGCUUUAUGCAUGUUUGUUUAGACCUAAUCAGCUAUCUUGCAUGUUCUAUUGUUUGCAGUGGUGCACUUUUCAGUUUCACAGGUCAACAUCAGUUUUUUUUACCGUAAAAAAGUUAAAGAAAGGUAGCUCAUGGCUCCGGUCGUGAGUGUUAUAGUCUUUUUCCUAUGCGGUAGGAGAGACUGAGGUCUGCAGUGUAGGCUAUUUGGCUAGAUACUCAGGUGCUAUGUGAUACCAUUUCAUAAACAACUUGUUGAUUAUGUUUUGUCUAUUGCAUACUCGCUUGUACUAUCAUACCUACGCUUAGGAUGUUGAGUAGCGACAUACGCAC
rnacentral:rRNA from 1 species